rnacentral:lncRNA from 1 species
UGUGUUUUAAACUUUUUAAAACUUUAGGGUUUAUAUAUAAAUUUCGAAAAUUAAGCCAUUAAUUUUAAAUUUAAAAUAAACCAAAUAACUAGAUUUAAUAUUUAUCUAUUAAUUAACUUUUAAUUAAUUUAUUAAAUCUUGUAAGGAUUAUCUAAUUAAAUUAAACAAUUAAUUUAAUCCUAAUCCAUAUCCCUUCUAGAUUUCGAAAAUAUGGGGAUAGGAUAAUUUCCUUAUUUUUCUCAAUUAUCCAAUAAGGCAACUAUUAUCCAGAACAAAUAAACCCUAAUAUUUAUAGCAUAUUUCGAAAUUUCAAGGGGAGGAGUCUAGGGUUUUCAAAACCCUAACCCUGAUUUCGAUUAAGGUUCAUGGAGGCUAGGGUUUUUCAAACACCCUUUGAACCAAAAACCCUAGAAAUCGGAAAUUUGGCCUUUUAGGGUUUAAUGGCUAUAAACCCUAAUUUUCAAUUCAACUAUUAUAGCAAUUCAAUUUAAAACAACAAUGUCUCUGAUACCACUGAUGGGUUUUAGGUAAAACAAAUAANUACCACUGAUGGUUUUAGGUAAAACAAAUAAACUAGAAAAACAAUUUCUAAGUUCACAUGCAACCUACUUUGGAUCUAUGUUUUAACUAUUAAACAU